AUUGAACGCUGGCGGCAGGCCUAACACAUGCAAGUCGAACGAGUGGCGGACGGGUGAGUAAUGUCUGGGAAACUGCCUGAUGGAGGGGGAUAACUACUGGAAACGGUAGCUAAUACCGCAUACCAUCAGAUGUGCCCAGAUGGGAUUAGCUAGUUGGUGGGGUAACGGCUCACCAAGGCGACGAUCCCUAGCUGGUCUGAGAGGAUGACCAGCCACACUGGAACUAGACACCGGUCCAGACUCCUCCGGGAGGCAGCGGUGGGGAAGAUUGCACAAGGGGCGAAAGCCUGAUGCAGCCAUGCCGCGUGUAUGAAGAGGGCCUUCGGGUUGUAAAGUACUUUCAGCGGGGAGGCGUUACCCGCAGAAGAAGCACCGGCUAACUCCGUGCCAGCAGCCGCGGUAAUUC
rnacentral:rRNA from 1 species